UAAGAAUGCUGUGCUCCAGAGACAACUGGAAUUAUACAUGAAGGAAAAAGCUGCUUUGGAAAGAGAAACUUUUUCCGUGACCGAGUUGAGAAAUGAAAAUAUAUUUCUGAAGAGUUCUUUGAGCGCCUUGGAGGAAAAGAACUCUGCAUUGGAGCAUGAGCUAAUAAAGGGUAAAGAAGAGUCUACUGACACAAUUGCCAAGUUGAGAGCAGUUGAAGAGACAUGUUCACAACUCCAACAGAACUUAAAAAGUAUGGAGGAGAAGCUCUCAAAUUCAGAGGAUGAAAAUCUUAUCCUCCGACAGAAAGCAUUGAGUGCAACUCCGAGAAGCAAUCGUCCAGGUUUUGCCAAGUCUUUUAGCGAUAAAUUCUCUGGUGCACUCG
rnacentral:misc_RNA from 1 species